rnacentral:lncRNA from 1 species
AGAUGACAUCAGGAGGUAGGCAGGAACUAGAUUAUAUCCAGGGUUUUAGACCACAUUUAGGGUUUGGGGAUCCCUGCUGAGCUUUAAUAAUAAACGUAUGUGUUGGGGCACACAGUAGGCUUGCAGAACAUUGGAUGGUAUAUCCCUUGUGUCAUGCAGGGAUGGACUAUGCCUCCAACAACACCUGGAGGAUCAGCCAAACAAAGGCAGGACUAAGAACCCCUUAAAGGACAAUAAAAUCAGAGUUCCUGCACCCAAAAAAGCGACGACAACAACAACAACAACAAAAAACAAACAAAAAGACAAUCAAAGACAAAGCAUGAAUUGCCAUUCAGUCAGUCACAUUGUGUGUGACCCUGGACAAAUCAAUGUCUGUGACCCUGGACAAGUCUUAUUGUGUGUGACCCCCCCUGGACGAGGUCUCUCAGUCUCCUAGAGACAGAAGGCUUGGGAUCCCUGCUGAGCUUUUCUGAGAUUCUGGUAAUUGGUAAUAAAAAAUUCUGUAUGGGCAAGGCUUUGUCUAGUGCUUGCUACAAACUAGGCAAUCAUAUCCCUUUCUGUAGCUAUGCUCCAAAUUAACCUAGAGAUAGCACCAUGACCAGGGUUAACUUAUGGUGUUGGGGGCAGGGUCCUAAAAAUUUGAUGUCUUUCUGAAAUUGCCACUUCUAAAAUAUUUGCUUAGAAUGUGCUUAAUGAAGGUAGGGGGAAACUGCUUUUUUAUAUUAGGAAAUUUAUUGAAAAUAACACAGUUAGACUACAUGGAUUUGAGUUAGGAUUGUGAUUUUUCUGAACCCCCAAACUUCUUGGGUUUAAAAUUUAGAUAACAGGAGUUUCUGUCGUGGUGCAGCAGAAAUGAAUCCGACUAGGAACCAUGAGGCUGUGGCUUCUAUCUGUGGCCUCUCUCAGGGGGUGAAGGAUCCAGUGUUGCUGUGACCUGUGGCGUAGGUCACAGAUGUGGCUCCGAUCUGGUGUUGCUGCGGCUGUGGCAUAGGCCAGCAACUGUAGCUCAGAUUAGACCCCUAACCUGGGAACCUCCAUACGCCGCAUGUGCAGCCCUAAAAAUUAAAAUUUAGGUAAAAAAUAAAUUAUUAUUUCCCAAGUAAAUAGCAUUAUGCUAUGGAUCAUUCAGUUUCCAAAUUUCAUUGAAUUUUUUGGCUGCUGACUUCAGGUGAUUGACAUAGCUGAGCUUGGUGGAGGCUGGGGGAGAGUUUUAUAGCUGCAGGGAUUUGCUUUCAUAUGCAGAUCACAAGAAUACCCUGUAACACAGGGGGGCACUGGCAAAUCCUGUACUUUUAUUUCAGUUUUUUUCAGGAAAGCAGGCUGGCAAUACUCAUCUGGAGUUGCUGUCUGCCUUUUUUUUUUUCACCACUGCAUCCAGGCUAGGGGUUGAAUUGGAGCUGUAGCCAGCCUACACCACAGCCACAGCAACCCAGGAUCCCAGCCACGUCUGUGGCCUACACCACAGGUCACCGUGGCACAGAACCAUUCUUUUUUUUAUGGGAACCAUUCCUCCUGGUUUGUGAUAUAAAUCUUCCACCCAUCAUAUGGCUGAGCACACAAUCCGUGCUUGACAGUCAAAGAUUGGUUCAAAUGUACACCAAUAAGAGCAGUAGCUUAAACUUCUUUUAUUCCUUUUUUGUCUUUCUUUCUUUUUUGGCCGCCCACAGCAUAUGGAGUGACCCCACCAGGGAUCAGGUCUGAGCCCCAGUUGUGACCUACGCUGCAGCUGUGGCAACACCAGAUCCUUAACCCACUGUCCCUGGCCAGGAAUCGAACCUGGGUCCCUGCACUGCAGAGACAUUGCCGAUCCCACAGCGGGAACUCCUAAAACUUUUUGAUGGAAUUUAUAGGAUAGCAGUAUUCUCUCCUAAGAUUCCUUGUUGUGAAGACAGCAUUAACCAAGAAUUCUCAUCUUUGCCAUCACAUAGGACAAGCCAGACUGAGAGAAGGACAAAGCAGAGAGCACUCAUAACCAUUAUUUGGAAUCCUGAUGAUAUACUUUGAGCCCUUUUGACUCUGCUCCGAUCCCAUGUUGCUGUGACUGUGGUGUAGGCCAGCAGCUGCAGCUGAUUCAACCCCUAGCCUGGGAACCUCCAUAUGCUACUGGCGCGGGCCUAAAAAGAAAAAGAAAAAAAAAAAUGGUUAAGAUGAUGUUACUGGAAUGGAACUGCAUCCUUGCAAAAUCCACAUAGUAAAGAUUAACCCCCAUGUAUUGAAAACAGGGUCUUUAAAUAGGUCAUCAAGGUUAAAUGAGGUCAUGACUAGGGCCCUAAUCCAGUAGAACUGGUAUCUUUAAGAAAGAGGCACCAAAGCCCUCUCUCUAUGUUUGCAAAGAGGAAAGGUCGUAUGAGGACACAGAAAAAAGGCGGCCAACUGUGAGCCAAGAAAGGAGGCCUGACCAGAAACUGACCAUGCCUGCACCUUAAACUUGGACUUUUAGCCUCUGGGACUGUGAGAGAAUUAGUUUCUGCUGUUUAAGCCACCAGUUUUGAUGUUGUGUUGUGUGAUAUUAGGCAGCCAGAGCGGAUUAAUAGAAAUGGUAAAUUAUAUGUUAUAUGUAUUUUAUCACAAUUUUAUUUUAUUUUAUUUUAUUUUAUUUAUCUUAUGGCCCAGGCUAGGGGUCUAAUCAGAGUUACAGCUGUCGGCCUAUGCCACAACCACAGCAAUGCCAGAUCCAAGCCACAUCUUCAACCUACACAGCAGCUUGCGACAACGAUGGAUCCUUUACCCACUAAUCAAAGCCAGCGAUCAAACCUGUAACCUCACAGAGACAAUGUCAGGUUCUUAACCCACUGAGCCACAAUGGGAACUCGUACCACAAUUUUUUAAAAAGUCUGUUUUGACUUGGUUUUCUAUUAUGUAUAACCCAAAGACUCCUCACUAAUAUGCAACCGAUUUAAUUUCAUCCAUUGCAUAAAAAAUCCUACGUGGCCUCUUGUGUUAAUUGGCACAAUACUUUCUAAAUUGUCAGUGAGGUUUUGUUACUUUCUGUGUAUGGGCAUCCCUGGAAAAAGCUACUGCACUGGCUGGCCUUUCAAUUUGGCUCAAGAUUUCUUGGGGAAAGAAAUAAUCCCAGGAUGCUCCAAAAACAGACCCCAUAGCUUCAUUUGUGAAAAUCCUGGGUGUCAGGCCUCAGAUCCUUGAUUCCUGUUCCCAGGAAACCUUCCCAGGAAGACGUCGCCCGAGGCAGCUUUGAAUAAUGAGUUUUCCUUCUCAGAGCCUUCCUAUUCCAUUUCCAGAUGUUCCUAUUUGGAAAUCUUCCCUUAUUUUGUCUCUUGAAGUGCCAGCACUCAGAAAGGGCCCAGCCCCUCUGACAGCCGGUAGGCUUUCUGCUCAAGGGAUUUCACAGCAUCAGGACUCACACCCCAGCCUAUUAGAUGGCAGAAAUCCUUUCAAGGCAAGUUGGGACUUAUUUGUAACUUAUCUGAGAAACACAUCACAGUGUGUCUUUGUAGCCAGGGAUCCUCAAGCGAGAAGGUAACAGAUGAAAUAACUUAUUAGUCCUUUUCCUUCCCAAGAGUCUCUAAAGCAUGAAAAACUCCACUAUACCUGCUCCUCCGAGCUUUUGCUGUAGAGAUUUCCCGAGAGCCUCCCAGUGCUGCCAGUGUCAGCACACCUGUCUGAGGCAGACGUGCACCAGCAACGGCAAAAUAAUGGAUUCCAUUUACUGAGCACGUACUAUGCGCCAGACAUGGUACAAAGUGUUGUACCUGGGUUAUUUCAUGUAUGCCUUAUAGGAACAUGUGAAGUAAACCUAUCAACCUCGUUUUACAGAUGAAGAAACACGGCCUCGUAAAGUACAAGCAGCUCACUCGGAUUUAUUGAUCUUGUCAGUUGGCAGAGGCAGGGCUACCAGACUCAGGUCCAGCUGCUUGCCGCUCGGAAAUCAGUACCUGAGAAAGAGGCAAAUAUUGGUCAAAAGGAAGGUUGCUUUUCAUCAGAAUGCUGGCAGUCUGGGGAGAGGGUGGACUCACUGUCCGCCCAAAACCAUCUCCCAAGAUUUAGCUUGACCGUGAAAGUUUUUAAAGGGAAAAAGGAAAGUCAACUCUGCCAAUCAUUGAGGUAGCGGGCAGCGUUGCCAUCCCCCACUGCCCACAGGCUUCUGAACUCUCUCCUUAGAUACAAUCUUGUUCACAGUUUGUUCGUGAGAUUACUGAAGGGGAAGCUAGGAAAGUGGUCUGUCAUCUGUUAAUUACUUAUUCUUCAGUUCUACUUCUUUGAUCUACAGAAAGAACCAAUAGGUUAGGCAAGGUAUUAUGUGAUCGAAAGAUUUGAAAGGUGUGAGUGGGUCAGAAAUGAGUAGGGCAUGGGGGCUUCUGAUUAAAAUGUAAGCAAUUUGGGAGUUCCUGUGGUAGCUUAGCAGGUUGAGAACCCAACAUAAUGUCCCUGAGGAUGUGGGUUCGAUUCCUGGCCUCGCUUGGUGGGUUAAAGAUACGGUGUUGCCCCAAACUGUGGUAUAGGUCACAGAUGCGGAUCUGGCAUUGCUGUGGCUGUGGCUGUGGCAGCUGCAGCUCCAAUCUGACCCUGGGAACUUCCAUAGGCCACAGGAAUGGCUGUAAGAAAAAAGGAGAGGAGUUCCCGUCGUGGUGCAGUGGUUAAUGAAUCUGACUAGGAACCAUGAGGUUGCGGGUUCGGUCCCUGCCCUUGCUCAGUGGGUUAACGAUCCGGCGUUGCCGUGAGCUGUGGUGUAGGUUGCAGAUGCGGCUCGGAUCCUACGUUGCUGUGGCUCUGGCGUAGGCCAGUGGCUACAGCUCCGAUUUGACCCCUAGCCUGGGAACUUCCAUAUGCCACGGGAGCGGCCCAA